AGCAAAUGUGUCCCUUAUUCUCAACCUCCUCGUUAUUACAAAAUGUGUCAUUUAUCGGUAUGUCGUCGUCUACAGACGAUAGAGUAUCUUCGGGAAGAAUUGCUCUGGUGUCCGAAUCUUCCAUUGCCAGUUUGUAGGAUACCAAAAAAAGAUUCAAGACCCUAACUAAGAGUUUCGGUUCCUUUGUUAUUAUAGACUCGUCUUCGCAAGACUGAAUAGUUUGCGGGCAAAAUCUUCAAAUAAUUCACUUGUUCUGAUCAGAAACAAAGACAAAACGUACUUAAACUAAAUCAAUGGAUAUACACUGAGUGUACAAAACAUGGACUGACCAGGUGAAUCCAGGUGAAAGAUAUGAUCCCUUAUUGAUGUCACUUGUUAAAUCCACUUCAAUCAGCGUAGAUGAAGGGGAGGAGACAGGUUAAAUAAUUAUUUUUAAGCCUUGAGACAAUUGAGAUGGAUUGUGCAUGUAUGCCAUUCAGAGGGUGAAUGGGCAAGACAAAAUAUUGAAGUCCCUUUGAACGAGGUAUGGUAGUAGGUGCCAGGCGCGCUGGUUAGAGUGUGUUAAAAACAGUAACGCUGCUGUUUUUUUUUAAUGCUCAACAGCUUCCCAUGUGUAUCAAGAAUGCACCUUGUGGAAUAGCAGGGGACUGUGAAGAGACACACACAGUGCCUUAGUGUGUUUGGACCCCAAGAAGAGUAGCUGCUGCCUUGGCUGGGAAUGUUCAUCCUGCAUGUGUCCUCACAUGUUUCACCAAUCCCUCUCAGAAAUAUCCUGACAUAUCCUGUUGUAUUCAAGGUGUGUUCCAUAAUAUUUCCAAAUAAUGUCUAUGAAACAUCUGUACAAUAAAGGCACAGAAUUCCAGAACA